rnacentral:rRNA from 1 species
CCUACGGGGGGCAGCAGUGGGGAAUGUUGCGCAAUGAUCGGAAGAGUGACGCAGCGACGCCGCGUGAAUGACGAAGGCCUUCGGGUCGUAAAGUUCUUUCGACAGGGAAGAAAAUGCCUAUAAGUAACUGUGUAUGUAUUGACGGUACCCGUAUAAGCAGCCCCGGCUAACUCCGUGCCAGCAGCCGCGGUAAUACGGAGGGGGCGAGCGUUGUUCGGAGGGACUGGGCGUAAAGAGCACGUAGGCGGUGUUGUAAGUCAUUAGUCAAAGACUAGAGCUCAACUUUAGUAAGGCUAGUGAUACUAUAAUACUAGAGUAUCAGAGAGGAUUGCAGAAUUCCUGGUGUAGCGGUGAAAUGCGUAGAUAUCAGGAGGAAUACCGUUAGCGAAGGCGGCAAUCUGGCUGGAAACUGACGCUGAGGUGCGAAAGCGUGGGUAGCAAACAGGAUUAGAUACCCCUGUAGUC